GACGAACCGUGCGAACGUUGUUCGGAAUCACUGGGCUUAAAGGGCGCGUAGGCGGCCCGGUAAGUCCGUUGUGAAAGUCAAAGGCUCAACCUUUGAAAGCCGAUGGAUACUGCCGGGCUGGAGUCCGGAAGAGGCGAGUGGAAUUCCUGGUGUAGCGGUGGAAUGCGCAGAUAUCAGGAGGAACACCAAUAGCGAAGGCAGCUCGCUGGGACGGUACUGACGCUGAGGCGCGAAAGCGUGGGGAGCGAACAGGA
rnacentral:rRNA from 1 species